rnacentral:lncRNA from 1 species
GAGUCUCCGCAAACUUGCUCUGAAUUCGCUGCAGGAACUUUGUGGCUGCUUUGCUUGGGCUGUUCUGGAAAACUGCGCUUGUUCUCUGAGCCCGGCCUUUUCAUGCUUCACAAAUAAACAGAGGAUAAACUCGAGAGGAAAUGUGGAGCUGGGGAGAGUGGUUGCAGUUCCUGUGGUCAGGAGAGAACGUUCCUGUUUUGUCUUUGGCUCAGUGACCCAGGCAACAGAAGGGGGACUCUCAUAAACCACAAAGGAAAAUAAAUAACCUCACCCAUGGAGGGAAAGAGACAGCUUGAGAAAAGGGACUUUGGAAAAAGGCUCUCUCUAGAUAGCAGUCUCAUGG